AGACAAGAAAUACAAUCAACUCCUGAUGAAUCAAAACCAAGCAUUGCUACUGAUCUCACAUUGGCCACUAUUUUAGCAUCAUCAACAAGUAAAAUAAUUGUUUCAUAUUCUACUGAGACAACUACCACGAC